UCCUGUUUAAAAGACCUUCCAGGGCACAGUGAAGUGUUUAGUUCAACCUCGCAUAGACAGAGCAAUGGAAAAAGCAGAGACCGUAAGCUGAAGUCUGAUUGGAGGAAUGGCGUGCCAAUCGACCCUGCACCAGUGAUCAGGGUAUGUGGCAGUCCUCCCACUAUAACUCUUCUCUUACUGCAUACAGUAAUGUGCCUGCUGUUUGUCUGUGAAGUGUCUUCAAAGCACUGUAAGAUGUGACUUUUCGGCUUACGUGUUUCAAGCCAUAACUGGUUUGAAACACAUCCCAACAGAAUAUCGUGACUUUUUUAGCAGUUUCACUGUUAGGCUUCACUGGCUACUAAGCAUGGAUGUGAAUGAUAGAGACACAAAUAGUUCUGGAGAGAGUUUACUGUUUUAGGGAAAAUAUCUAAUUUUAGUGACCAUUAUUGCAAUUAUUUUAAAUAAAUAAACUUCAGCUCUGCAUCUGUGAGGACUGGUCCCAGGCCUCUAAACUGCUGCCCUGCUUGUCCAGUUUUUGCCAGCAAUUUAAAAAAGGUCUGAGGCUGCUCUUGUAAGUGGCUGUUUUCCCAGAUGGAGAAUCAGGACAGUCAAUCAGGGGUACUUCACUACCCCCUAUUCCUGGAGGUCCCAAUUCAGACCUUUUAAAUGGAAACUCUUAAAACAAUGAUAUGAUAUUGUUUGAUUCAAGUAUGAAGGAUAAUAAUACAAAAGUUUAACCAUGAUUUGGGUAACAUUUUGAGGGUGAAGUUGUCAUUCUAGCUGCUCUGGCCAUUACAACAGUUUAAAAUGUCCUUGAAACAGUGAGGUGAUUAACUGAAUAAUAAUAGUUGACACCUGAUUUUUUUGAUGAAUUCAGAAAGAGUAUGAAAGCAUAAAAAUUCACAGCUUCCUAAAUAUUUGCUGGUUUUCAAAGUCUUCUGUGAAAGUAGCUUGAAUCUUUGUAUCUUUGGGUUUUGGAUUGCUGGUCAGACAAAACAUGACAUGUCCUUGAGCAUCAGAACUUGAUAAUGG
rnacentral:lncRNA from 1 species